rnacentral:rRNA from 1 species
UACAAAGACUGCAAGCGUUAUUCGGAUUCACUGGGCGUAAAGGGCGCGUAGGCGGCCUGCUAAGUCGAACGUGAAAUCCCUGGGCUCAACCCAGGAACUGCGUCCGAUACUGGUUGGCUUGAAUCCGGGAGAGGGAUGUGGAAUUCCAGGUGUAGCGGUGAAAUGCGUAGAUAUCUGGAGGAACACCGGUGGCGAAGGCGACAUCCUGGACCGGUAUUGACGCUGAGGCGCGAAAGCCAGGGGAGCAAACGGG